rnacentral:rRNA from 1 species
AGUGAACGCUGGCGGUAGGCCUAACACAUGCAAGUCGAACGGCAGCACAGUAAGAGCUUGCUCUUACGGGUGGCGAGUGGCGGACGGGUGAGGAAUACAUCGGAAUCUACUUUUUCGUGGGGGAUAACGUAGGGAAACUUACGCUAAUACCGCAUACGACCUACGGGUGAAAGCAGGGGAUCUUCGGACCUUGCGCGAUUGAAUGAGCCGAUGUCGGAUUAACUAGUUGGCGGGGUAAAGGCCCACCAAGGCGACGAUCCGUAGCUGGUCUGAGAGGAUGAUCAGCCACACUGGAACUGAGACACGGUCCAGACUCCUACGGGAGGCAGCAGUGGGGAAUAUUGGACAAAGGGCGCAAGCCUGAUCCAGCCAUACCGCGUGGGUGAAGAAGGCCUUCGGGUUGUAAAGCCCUUUUGUUGGGAAAGAAAAGCAGCAGGUUAAUACCCCGCUGUUCUGACGGUACCCAAAGAAUAAGCACCGGCUAACUUCGUG